rnacentral:lncRNA from 1 species
UUUCAUUAGUUUGUCCAAGUAAAAACACCGUUUUAACCAGACUUUCUGCAGCAUAUGACCCGUUAAUAAUAAUAUUUGUAAUAUCAGGACCCAUGACCAUGUGUUUAAUUUCAGCCCACGUACUGCGAAUUAUAGACCUCUGUUCAAAGUUCUUCGGAGAAGAAAAUACGACAAUGAGAACAAACACAGACGGUGUUUUGCUAGGAAGAACCGUGCUUGAAUUUUGACGGUUGGCUUGACGAGUCGUCAAUUUUGUCGGUGAAGAACGGUUUGAAUUAAGCUCUAAAACAGCCGGGCGUCCCUCGUGUGAAUUUAUUGAAGCAUACCUGUAAUAGCAUAGCCAAGUGUAAUGCAUUCCACAAAACAGAAAGAAGCUUGUGAUGACAAGACGAAUAAGGAAUCGCUUUGAAUGAAAACAAAACAUUUCUUGGUAGAUCAAGUGAUCAACUAUAGCGACCAUAUAAUGUAGCUUAUCGUUGACUGCGCAGGUACAACCUGUCUUGUAACAGCAAGACUCCUUCUAGCUAUAAAUUUGAAGUUAAAG